rnacentral:rRNA from 1 species
GACGAACGCUGGCGGCGUGCCUAAUACAUGCAAGUCGAGCGGAUUGAUGGGAGCUUGCUCCCUGAUAUCAGCGGCGGACGGGUGAGUAACACGUGGGUAACCUGCCUGUAAGACUGGGAUAACUCCGGGAAACCGGGCUAAUACCGGAUAACUCAUUUCCUCGCAUGAGGGAAUGUUGAAAGGUGGCUUUUAGCUACCACUUACAGAUGGACCCGCGGCGCAUUAGCUAGUUGGUGAGGUAACGGCUCACCAAGGCGACGAUGCGUAGCCGACCUGAGAGGGUGAUCGGCCACACUGGGACUGAGACACGGCCCAGACUCCUACGGGAGGCAGCAGUAGGGAAUCUUCCGCAAUGGACGAAAGUCUGACGGAGCAACGCCGCGUGAGUGAUGAAGGUUUUCGGAUCGUAAAGCU